rnacentral:rRNA from 1 species
CCCGCCAGAGGACCCCUAAACUCUGUUUCUAUAUGUAACUUCUGAGUAGAACCAUAAAUAAAUCAAAACUUUCAACAACGGAUCUCUUGGUUCUGGCAUCGAUGAAGAACGCAGCAAAAUGCGAUAAGUAAUGUGAAUUGCAGAAUUCAGUGAAUCAUCGAAUCUUUGAACGCACAUUGCGCCCGCCAGUAUUCUGGCGGGCAUGCCUGUUCGAGCGUCAUUUCAACCCUCAAGCACAGCUAGGUGUUGGGACUCGCGUUAAUUCGCGUUCCUCAAAUUGAUUGGCGGUCACGUCGAGCUUCCAUAGCGUAGUAGUAAAACCCUCGUUACUGGUAAUCGUCGCGGCCACGCCGUUAAACCCCAACUUCUGAAUGUUGACCUCGGAUCAGGUAGGAAUACCCGCUGAACUUAAGCAUAUCAAUAAGCGGAGG